GAUCAUGGCUCAGGACGAACGCUGNCGGCGUGCUUAACACAUGCAAGUCGANCGGAAAGGCCCUUCGGGGUACUCGAGCGGCGAACGGGUGAGUAACACGUGAGUAAUCUGCCCCUGGCUUUGGGAUAGCCACCGGAAACGGUGAUUAAUACCGGAUAUGACCACUUGAUGCAUGUUGGGUGGUGGAAAGUUUUUCGGCCAGGGAUGUGCUCGCGGCCUAUCAGCUUGAUGGUGAGGUAAUGGCUCACCAUGGCUUCGACGGUAGCCGGCCUGAGAGGUGACCGGUCACACUGGGACUGAGACACGGCCCAGACUCCUACGGGAGGCAGCAGUGGGGAAUAUUGGACAAUGGGCGGAAGCCUGAUCCAGCAACGCCGCGUGAGGGAUGACGGCCUUCGGGUUGUAAACCUCUUUCGGUAGGGACGAAGCGCAAGUGACGGUACCUACUAAAGAAGCACCGGCCAACUACGUGCCAGCAGCCGCGGUAAUACGUAGGGUGCGAGCGUUGUCCGGAAUUAUUGGGCGUAAAGGGCUCGUAGGCGGUUUGUCGAAUCGGGAGUGAAAACCAGGUGCUUAACACCUGGCUUGCUUUCGAUACGGUCAGACUAGAGUUAUUCAGGGGAGAACGGAAUUCC
rnacentral:rRNA from 1 species